CCUACGGGAGGCAGCAGUGAGGAAUAUUGGUCAAUGGGCGCUAGUCUGAACCAGCCAAGUAGCGUGAAGGAUGACUGCCCUAUGGGUUGUAAACUUCUUUUAUAUGGGAAUAAAGUGUUGCAUGUGUAGUGUUUUGUAUGUACCAUAUGAAUAAGGAUCGGCUAACUCCGUGCCAGCAGCCGCGGUAAUACGGAGGAUCCGAGCGUUAUCCGGAUUUAUUGGGUUUAAAGGGAGCGUAGGUGGGUUGUUAAGUCAGUUGUGAAAGUUUGCGGCUCAACCGUAAAAUUGCAGUUGAAACUGGCAGUCUUGAGUACAGUAGAGGUGGGCGGAAUUCGUGGUGUAGCGGUGAAAUGCUUAGAUAUCACGAAGAACUCCGAUUGCGAAGGCAGCCCACUGGACUGUAACUGACACUGAGGCUCGAAAGUGUGGGUAUCAAACAGGAUUAGAUACCCCAGUAGUC
rnacentral:rRNA from 1 species